GAGAAAGAGAAAGACUCUCUCUCUCUCUCUCUCUCUCUCUCUCUCUCUCUCUCUCACACACACACACACAGAGAGAGAGAGAGAGAGAGAGAGAGAGAGAGAGAAGCAGAAAGGGCAU
rnacentral:miRNA from 1 species